rnacentral:lncRNA from 1 species
AUGCGGGAGGAAGCAAAGGAGCCAAGUCUUUGUCCUUUCCUUCAUUCAUAUCCACUUCAAAAAGAAGGUAUCCUAAAAGCGAGGUCGCUUAUGGUUUCCAUACAUUACUGUCUCAUCUCUUUUCCCAACUGGGAGACACAUGAAUAGUUGAAAGAGAUAAAACGAGGGAAAAAGCCAAAAGAGCAGCUGCAGCAGAACUCAGAAGCUGGAACCAGGAGAGUCCAAGGCCCUCUACAUUCAUUCACAGCAAAAGGUAAACCUUUAUUUUUGCAACAAAGAGAAUAAAACUCUACCCAAAAGACUCCA